UGGAGUUUGAUCAUGGCUCAGGACGAACGCUGGCGGCGUGCCUAAUACAUGCAAGUCGAGCGCGUGAAGCUAAACCGAUUCCUUCGGGAUGACGUUUAGUGGAACGAGCGGCGGACGGGUGAGUAACACGUGGGCAACCUACCUAUAAGACUGGGAUAACUCGUGGAAACGCGAGCUAAUACCGGAUAAUACAACCGACCUCCUGGUCAGGUUGUUGAAAGGUGGCUCUUUUGAGCUAUCACUUACAGAUGGGCCCGCGGCGCAUUAGCUAGUUGGUGAGGUAACGGCUCACCAAGGCAACGAUGCGUAGCCGACCUGAGAGGGUGAUCGGCCACACUGGGACUGAGACACGGCCCAGACUCCUACGGGAGGCAGCAGUAGGGAAUCUUCCGCAAUGGACGAAAGUCUGACGGAGCAACGCCGCGUGAACGAAGAAGGUUUUCGGAUCGUAAAGUUCUGUUGUUAGGGAAGAACAAGUACCGUUCGAAUAGGGCGGUACCUUGACGGUACCUAACGAGGAAGCCCCGGCUAACUACGUGCCAGCAGCCGCGGUAAUACGUAGGGGGCAAGCGUUGUCCGGAAUUAUUGGGCGUAAAGCGCGCGCAGGCGGUUUUUUAAGUCUGAUGUGAAAUCUUGUGGCUCAACCACAAGCGGUCAUUGGAAACUGGAGAACUUGAGGACAGAAGAGGAGAGUGGAAUUCCACGUGUAGCGGUGAAAUGCGUAGAUAUGUGGAGGAACACCAGUGGCGAAGGCGACUCUCUGGUCUGUAACUGACGCUGAGGCGCGAAAGCGUGGGGAGCGAACAGGAUUAGAUACCCUGGUAGUCCACGCCGUAAACGAUGAGUGCUAGGUGUUAGGGGGUUUCCGCCCCUUAGUGCUGCAGUUAACGCAUUAAGCACUCCGCCUGGGGAGUACGGCCGCAAGGCUGAAACUCAAAAGAAUUGACGGGGACCCGCACAAGCGGUGGAGCAUGUGGUUUAAUUCGAAGCAACGCGAAGAACCUUACCAGGUCUUGACAUCCUCUGAACAUACGAGAGAUCGUGUUUUCCCUUCGGGGACAGAGUGACAGGUGGUGCAUGGUUGUCGUCAGCUCGUGUCGUGAGAUGUUGGGUUAAGUCCCGCAACGAGCGCAACCCUUAAUCUUAGUUGCCAGCAUUUAGUUGGGCACUCUAAGGUGACUGCCGGUGACAAACCGGAGGAAGGUGGGGACGACGUCAAAUCAUCAUGCCCCUUAUGACCUGGGCUACACACGUGCUACAAUGGAUGGUACAAAGGGCCGCGAAACCGCGAGGUCAAGCAAAUCCCAUAAAACCAUUCUCAGUUCGGAUUGCAGGCUGCAACUCGCCUGCAUGAAGCCGGAAUCGCUAGUAAUCGUGGAUCAGCAUGCCACGGUGAAUACGUUCCCGGGUCUUGUACACACCGCCCGUCACACCACGAGAGUUGGCAACACCCGAAGUCGGUGAGGUAACCUUUUAGAGCCAACCGCCGAAAAGUGGAUU
rnacentral:rRNA from 1 species